AACGAACGCUGGCGGCAUGCCUAACACAUGCAAGUCGAACGAUGCCUUCGGGCAUAGUGGCGCACGGGUGCGUAACGCGUGGGAAUCUGCCUUUCGGUUCGGAAUAACUCAGGGAAACUUGAGCUAAUACAGGAUAACGUCGCAAGACCAAAGAUUUAUCACCGAAAGAUGAGCCCGCGUAAGAUUAGAUAGUUGGUGAGGUAAAGGCACACCAAGGCGACGAUCCUUAGCUGGUCUGAGCGGAUGCUCAGCCACACUGGGAAUGAGACACGGCGCAGAUUCCUACGGGAAGCAGCAGAAGGGAAUCUUGAACAAUAGCCUAAAGCCUGAUCCAGCCAUGCCGCGUGAGUGAUGAAGGACUUAGGGUUGUAAAGAACUUUUACCCGGGAAGAUAAUGACGGUACCGAGAGAAUAAGCCCCGGCUAACUCCGUG
rnacentral:rRNA from 1 species